rnacentral:sRNA from 1 species
UCUGGAAGGCACAUGAGUCCGAAC